rnacentral:rRNA from 1 species
CCGUAGCCCAAGAGAUCGGGAUAACACCUGGAAACAGAUGCUAAUACCGGAUAACAACAGAUGAUGCCUAUCAACUGUUUAAAAGAAUGGUUCUGCUAUCACUCUUGGAUGGACCUGCGGUGCAUUAGCUAGUUGGUAGGGUAACGGCCUACCAAGGCGAUGAUGCAUAGCCGAGUUGAGAGACUGAUCGGCCACAUUGGGACUGAGACACGGCCCAAACUCCUACGGGAGGCAGCAGCA